GAUGAACGCUAGCUACAGGCUUAACACAUGCAAGUCGAGGGGUAACGAGAGGGAAGCUUGCUUUCCUUGUCGACGACCGGCGCACGGGUGAGUAACGCGUAUCCAACCUGCCCCCAACUAGGGAAUAACCUUGCGAAAGUAAGACUAAUACCCUAUAAUUUCCUCAGAUGUCAUCUGACGAGGAGUAAAGAUUUAUCGGUUGUGGAUGGGGAUGCGUCUGAUUAGCUUGUUGGCGGGGUAACGGCCCACCAAGGCAACGAUCAGUAGGGGUUCUGAGAGGAAGGUCCACCACAUUGGAACUGAGACACGGUCCAAACUCCUACGGGAGGCAGCAGUGAGGAAUAUUGGUCAAUGGGCGGAAGCCUGAACCAGCCAAGUAGCGUGCAGGAUGACGGCCCUAUGGGUUGUAAACUGCUUUUAUACAGGAAUAAAGUUAGCCACGUGUGGUUAUUUGUAGGUACUGUAUGAAUAAGGACCGGCUAAUUCCGUGCCAGCCGCCGCCGUAA
rnacentral:rRNA from 1 species